UACGUGUUGCAUUAUAAGCGUGGAUCACAGCGACAGGAAAGUAGUCAUGUUUUCCUGUUGGUACGUAAGUUCAGAGUGAUGAAACAGCAGUGGGGGGCAAGAACGUCAUCCAUCAGCCGGCUUGUGCGUGUUCAGAUCCUAGUGAAAUACAGCGCGCUCUGAAACAACUAGAUGCUAGAGUGAUCCACAUAUUAAUUAAGAAACAGGAGUCUUGUAUCUUGGAACAUUGCUGAAUCUUGUAUCUUGGAACAUUGCUGUGUGCUCACCCUGUUGUGAGUUGCUGGCACGUAUUAGCACUCCGCUGGAAGAGUGGUUAUUUUAUUACCUUUUACCUGAAAGUCAGCAUUCUGCUUCCAUUGUGCUGGUGCCUUUGGUGGCGUGGAACAGAGCAGCUGUUGCAGGAUCUCUGUUGCCUCGGAAACAGUUCCUUUACAACCUGACUUUUUUAUAAUGUUUUUGUUACCUUUCUUACCUGUUACUGUGCCCCAGCUACAGAAAGGUGGUGCUAGUUUUUGCUGCGUUACAGUAAAAACCGUAGCAAAGUCUGUCCGUGUUGGCUGUUACUAGAUUUUAGCAUUUCCUCAGUCCAGCGUCCUCUGGCACUAGGUGCUCUGAAGGCAGGACAGCGUGCCUGGCCCUGCAGCACCCAGAUCUGGGGAUGGAGGGUGGCGUAUUUUUGCUGCUGCUCUGAAGGUUCAGGCCAACAUCAUGGACAGAUCAGGAGGCAGCAGAUUACAGGGAGCGGGCAAAUCUUCAGGGUGAGCGCUGGUGUGGAGCGCAGAGAGCUCGCUGCCCACCGUUGCCUGUGCAAGGUCUGCAGCAGGCAGGGUGUGUGUGGCGUGCAGCCCCCAGGGACUCGUUAGCACCAAGCACUGAGGCUGCAGUAUGCAACAGUGCAGGAGAUGGGUGCUUCUCAUGACAAGACAUUCUGGGGCUUUCAGCUGGAGGGGGAGAGGGUUGCAGUUAUGCGAGGGAAUUUGCAUAUAAUACAGAAGGUUUUUCUGCUCAUAGAUUGCAGGCAAAAAAGGAAUUUUGUGCUCCCCUUUGAAGCGGGUUUUCCUGAAAAAUGUUGUGUCACAGGGAAGUGUGUCUGUUCUCCAAAGAGGACACAGGUGAGCACGCUUUGUCGAGGAGGAGCCCAGCAGACCUUGCUUUAGCCAAAGACGAGGGAGCAGGGAGAAGCAGCCUUUCUCCUGAACUGGCGGUGUGUCAAGAUGGGAAAAAAGUGACGUGAAGGCCUGGUGCAGCAGAGCAGAGGAGAGCGACUGAAGGUGCAGCCGAGCAGGUGUGCAUGAAUGUGUUGUGUGCGCUGCACGGGACUGUGCCUCCUGCUGCCUUACGCGGAGACGGCAGUGCUAAACCCCGCCACGCUCGGUGUGCUGUGGAGAGCUCAGCUGUACGGAGGAGCCAGUUGGGAGCCUCCGCGGGGGAUUUGCCUGCCUCACGGAAGUGGCAGCUGGGCAGGUACGUUUCUUUUCCUGUAGCAUCAGUGCAGGCAGUGAGGAGGGGCGCUGGGGGCUGCGAAAUGAGUCACCGCUUGUUUGUGCUCUUUGCAUAGGGUCUAACGUAGGUGGGUUCUGGGCUGCCGGGUCCUACUGUAGUGUAGGCAGCGAGGCACAGCGAGGGUAAGCGAGCCCUCCACUCAAAACCCUGCGUGCGUGUGUCUAUGCUGUGUCCCUGGGCUGGGCUAUUCGGUGUAGGGAUGGCCCUGCUGUACUGCAAAGCCAUGUAGGAGUUAACUUAGCCUAUGGCUGUGUCCUGGCCUAGCAGGGUCGCAGGAGAUUGCUAUGGAGAGCUGCCAAAAGCUGUCCAACUCCAGACUGAAAUUUACAGUGCCUGGGUGCUCUGGGCCAGCAUAUCCCUUCCUGCAGGCUGAGAGCCUUUCCAGCCAAAUGAAGAUCAAUGACGGCUGGAGCAGUAACAGCACGAGGCUCUGGGGAGGGCUGAGGUAAGUGCGGAGGCUCAGCCCUGACGUGACUUGGCAGAUGAGCAAUACAAAAAUCCCCACAGGCCUGACAUCAGCCCUGUCUCGCAAGUGCCUCUCAGGCCAUGUGUACAGCUGAGCAGGAGAGAUCAGUAUCUUGCGUUUCUGCUGGUUUUUUAGAGUUCCUCUUCACCUCCAGCCCUGCACCAGAGACAGCACCCUGCUCUGUAGUAACUCGCGCUUUACAGCUGCAGCAGCAGCGCUUCGCAAUCCAAAGCCGAACAGCGAGUCGGCCCGCGUUAGCGCUGCGCAGGCCCUGGCAAUCCCGCGUCUAUCCGGCGGAUGUCAGCAUCGGAGAGCUCUUCCCUAUGUGGGACCAAGCUCUGCGGGCCUGGGUGCCUUGGCAGCGGACACUGGUGCACUGCUGUCUCUGCUACUGCGGGGUACAGCAGAGCAGCAGCCAUUGCAGGCUGUGGGCUGCUCUGGAGAUUCAGUUGUAGCCAUUGCCUCCUGCUCGCAGGGGCUCUGAAAGAGACAUUUACCGGAGAGCAUGUGCUCCCUUCCCCAGCUGCUAAGGACAGAGAGGGACAGCGGGUGAGACCCCAUCUCUCACAGGGAUUUCACCUGUUCCUGGGAAUCUACGCCUCUCUCCUUUGCGUACCUGGGGGCAUGGUUCUGUCCCCAAGUCACACACAGAGACUUCUAGCACAGAGCUGCUCGUGUCCAGGCACUGAGAGGCAUGAGAACACGUGAUGAGAACAAGCUGGUGGCUCUUCAUUAAUCUUUGAUGAGGACUGGCAGUGGCCAGCACAAGUUAGCCAGGCAUGGGAAGACCAGCUGUGACUUGGCUUUAUCUUCACAGGGCUCAGGAUCCAAAAUCUGCUGCUCUCAGGCCCACUUUCUAGCGAAGUCUAAUGGCCUGCUCACGCCUGCUGCAUUGGAAUGAACUAGCGCUGCUGCCUGCUGCUUUAAAGAACAAAGCUGAGCAAGACAUUCCAGGGAAGGAUCCAGAGCAAUUUGUGUCACCUCGUG